CCCGCCUCCUUCCUAGGUGAAGGAAGCUGAUUCGCCCCCCCCCAUCUUGACCGCCCCCUCUGCCUUCGCCAACAAAACCGGACUCCGCCAGGUCCCGCUACCCUGGUACCAGAGAUGGGAUCCAAGAGAAUUCCGGAACCCAAACGGUCCAUUACCGCGGCUCCGGGGUGGGCGAAGGGAGAGGGGGCCGGGUUUCCGAGAAGGGGGAGGGGGCAAGGCGAAGGCGGCCUAGGACAGUCACGUGUCCGCUGCUUCCGCCGCCGAUAGCUGAGACCUCGCGAGAAUACCGUUUCCCCACCCGUUCUGUUCCGUGGGCUGUCGGGAAGAAGGUCGUCUUCUCCUGGGUGCCACCGGCAGGUCAGCCUGUGCGUGUGCGCGCAUGCGCUCCACACCUGCCGUCGUAGUCCGCCUAGUGGCUUAAACUGUAGUGCACAGCACAGCAAACCGGAGAGAGAAGUCUAUCAUACUUUGCAAGCAGAGAGCUGUCUGAAUGGAGCAGUGAGUAGUGGUGCAUGCCUGUCACUCCAGCACUGAGGAUCCAGAAUUGAAGGUCAGCCUGCAUUAUGGAGUGGGAUCCUGUGUCAGAAAACAAAGAGGAAAAGGAAGAAAAGAAACAUGGAUGCAGACCUGCAGGGAAGACAUCUAAAGGACUCUGGCUAAUCCCUUGGUGCUGUUGAAGUGCUCUCCUCCAUCACCUUCAUUAGAGCAGCUGUGGCUACUCACAGCAGACAGAAUCCAACCUGUUGGUUCCCAACAUUCUCUCAAAGGAAGAUAUGGGGAGGGUCACUGGACCCUGGCCUGAAAUUCCACUUGUUCCCUAUUGUGCCUCCCAGCCAGCUGUGUGCAGUUCUGCCCUAAUUGUAUGUGGCUUGGUGGUCUCCAGAGGUGCUAGAAUGCAUGCAGAGAAGAUGGAAGGCUGACUGAAGGGGGCACUCUGCAGCUAAGGGGAAGCUGGUGCUGGGGAGAGACUUUGCUGUAGCUACUUCUCCAUCACCGGUGCCUGUAGAUAAGCCCAAUAAACUCACUGGUUCCCUGAGGGACA